AUCCAGUUGACGAGUUCGAAAUAGGACGAAACGCGCGUUUUGCGAU
rnacentral:hammerhead_ribozyme from 1 species